rnacentral:rRNA from 1 species
UACGUAGGGGGCAAGCGUUGUCCGGAAUUAUUGGGCGUAAAGAGCGCGUAGGCGGUCCGAUAAGUCGGCUGUGAAAGUCCAGGGCUCAACCCUGGAAAGCCGGCCGAUACUGUCGGACUAGAGUCCGGAAGAGGCAAGUGGAAUUCCCGGUGUAGCGGUGAAAUGCGUAGAUAUCGUAAGGAAGACCAGUGGCGAAGGCGGGUCUCUGGACAGUUCCUGACGCUGAGGCACGAAGGCCAGGGGAGCAAACGGG